rnacentral:rRNA from 1 species
GACGUAGGGCGCGAGCGUUGUCCGGAUUUAUUGGGCGUAAAGAGCUCGUAGGCGGUGUGUCGCGUCGGCCGUGAAAACCUGCAGCUUAACUGUGGGCGUGCGGUCGAUACGGGCAUCACUGGAGUUCGGCAGGGGAGACUGGAAUUCCUGGUGUAGCGGUGAAAUGCGCAGAUAUCAGGAGGAACACCGGUGGCGAAGGCGGAUCUCUGGGCCUUACCUGACGGUCAGGUGCGAAAGCUAGGGGAGCGAACAGG